rnacentral:rRNA from 1 species
GACGAACGCUGGCGGCGUGCUUAACACAUGCAAGUCGAGCGGUAAGGCCCCUUCGGGGGUACGACGAGCGGCGAACGGGUGAGUAACACGUGGGUGACCUGCCCUCAGCUCUGGGAUAAGCCUGGGAAACUGGGUCUAAUACCGGAUAUGACUCCAUGACGCAUGUCGUGGGGUGGAAAGCCUUGUGCGGCUGGGGAUGGGCCCGCGGCCUAUCAGCUUGUUGGUGGGGUGAUGGCCUACCAAGGCGACGACGGGUAGCCGGCCUGAGAGGGCGACCGGCCACACUGGGACUGAGACACGGCCCAGACUCCUACGGGAGGCAGCAGUGGGGAAUAUUGCACAAUGGGCGAAAGCCUGAUGCAGCGACGCCGCGUGAGGGAUGAAGG